rnacentral:rRNA from 1 species
ACGAACGCUGGCGGCGUGCUUAACACAUGCAAGUCGAACGGAAAGGCCCUGCUUUUGUGGGGUGCUCGCGUGGCGAACGGGUGAGUAACACGUGAGUAACCUGCCCUUGACUUUGGGAUAACUUCAGGAAACUGGGGCUAAUACCGGAUAGGAGCUCCUGCUGCAUGGUGGGGGUUGGAAAGUUUCGGCGGUUGGGGAUGGACUCGCGGCUUAUCAGCUUGUUGGUGGGGUAGUGGCUUACCAAGGCUUUGACGGGUAGCCGGCCUGAGAGGGUGACCGGCCACAUUGGGACUGGGAUGCGGCCCAGACUCCUACGGGAGGCAGCAGUGGGGAAUAUUGCACAAUGGGCGGAAGCCUGAUGCAGCAACGCCGCGUGCGGGAUGACGGCCUUCGGGUUGUAAACCGCUUUCGCCUGUGACGAAGCGUGAGUGACGGUAAUGGGUAAAGAAGCACCGGCUAACUACGUG